rnacentral:rRNA from 1 species
CCUACGGGUGGCAGCAGUGAGGAAUAUUGGUCAAUGGACGGAAGUCUGAACCAGCCAUGCCGCGUGCAGGAUGACGGCUCUAUGAGUUGUAAACUGCUUUUGUACGAGAAUAAUAGUUCUUACGUGUAGGGCUUUGAAUGUAUCGUACGAAUAAGGAUCGGCUAACUCCGUGCCAGCAGCCGCGGUAAUACGGAGGAUUCGAGCGUUAUCCGGAUUUAUUGGGUUUAAAGGGUGCGUAGGCUGUCGGAUAAGUUAGAGGUCAAAUGUCGGGGCUUAACCCCGUACUGCCGUUGACACUGCAUCCCUUGAGUGCGCGAGAAGUAUGCGGAAUGCGUGGGGUAGCGGUGAAAUGCAUAGAUAUCACGCAGAACUCCGAUUGCGAAGGCAGCAUACCGGCGCGCAACUGACGCUCAUGCACGAAAGCGUGGGUAUCGAACAGGAUUAGAUACCCCGGUAGUC